rnacentral:rRNA from 1 species
GAUGAACGCUGGCGGCGUGCCUAACACAUGCAAGUCGAGCGGACAGACGAGUAGCUUGCUCCACUGAUGUUAGCGGCGGGAGUAAGAGUAACAUGUGCAUCACCCAACUAUAAGACUAGGAUAACAAAGGGAAACCGGUGCUAAUAAUGGAUAAUAUAUUGAACCGGAGGGUUCAAUAGCUCAAGCGGGUUUUGAUGGAAUUUAUAGCUGGAUCCGCGCCGCAUUAGUUAGAUGGUAGGGUAACGGCUUAGCAAGGCAACGAUGGGUAGCCGACCUGAGAGGGUGAUCGGCGACACUAGAACGGAGACACGGUCCAGACGCCUACGGGAGGGAGCAGUAGGGAAUCUGCCGCAAUGGGCGAAAGCCUUACACAGCAACGCCGCGUGAGUUAUGGAGGUCUUCGGAUCGUAAAGCCCUGUUUUGAGGUAAGAACAGAUGUGUGAGUAAAUAUACACGUCUUGACGGUACCUAAUCAAAAAGCCACGGCUAACUUCGUG